AUCUCUGAAACAAAGAAGCCUAGAGAGUGAGCGAGUAAAGUAAAACCCUAGUAAAUCAGUCUCAGUCUCAGCAUCAUCGAAAUCUCUCAUUCUGAAUCAGUUUGCCCUAGGUUUCAAUUCCAACUUUCUUUCGGUUUUUCUUCCCCAAAUCAAAACCCUAAGUAAUCGGUAAGAAGGUAGUGAUGGGUUUUUCAAGAUGGAGUAAUUGUAUGGGAUUCUGGUGGAAUGAUGAUUACAAAUGAAAGCCGCCGUUGGUGGACUGGCAUUGAUAGAUAUUGGUAAUCUAACAAAUCUCCAGUUGUUAGUCAUCCAUGCUGGGGAAUGGAUACAUAGUGGUGAGUAACUUUGUAUGCAUCAAGGGAGUUUGGAGAUCAAAAUUUGAUACAAUGGAAGCAUGGACUCGAUUAGAUAAGAUACACCAAAAAAAUAUCAAGCAAAGUUUAUGCUGAGAAAAAGAACACCGAGGAUGAUAAGGAUGCUUUGGUUAAGGAUUUGUUUGCAGUAGAUGAACGAUAUAAAAAAGCUACAUUGUCUAAUGCCUGUGGAAGAGCAAGAAAGCUCAAAGGAAAAGGCAGCACUAUACACCCCAUGAUACAAAUUAAAAACAUCUUGCAGAUAAACCCAACGCAUCAAGCGAAGGGGCUUGGAUGGAUCUUGUGAAAUUUUAUACUACUGAAGAGCAUCAUGUACUUCUGAUUGCAAUAUCAAGCGUAGAAGCCACCAUAAAGCCAAGCGCACAAUGGGCAGGAGAAACAUCCCUCGACACAGAGCUGAAAUGCCUGAAUUCUCAAGAUAGUGCUCAUUCAAUGUCUUGUGCUUCUAUGCAACUGCUGUAUAUCAGGCGAUGGAAACGGCAGGCUAUCAAAUGACUACUGUCGCCCGUCUGAAGCAGUCCCAUAAAAUGAUGCUCAGGACCAUUUUUGUGAAAUUGCUGGUAGCAGAAUGAAGUAAUCAUCUGUUGGAUGGCAUUUGCACCUUUAGAUUUCCAAUACAACUCAGGUUGAUUCUGUCGCGCCGGCUCAUGUAGUCUCAAUUGUGUCGACAUGGUUACACUUUUGGUUGUUUAUGGAUUUGCACAUGAUAUCAUUUGCCAUUAUAGGCUUGAAAUGAAGUCAAAACUCUAGGUUUAUAUCA